UGAAUCCGCGUUUCCAGCAGGUGCUUAAAAUUGUGUAGAGGAGUGAAACGCGUAAAGCGUAAAUAUCUGUUAAAAACUAUAAACAAAAGUCACAAUUUGGAGACAGAAGUUUCCUGAACCCAGGUGAUGUUCAAGGAGGAGGAGGAGGCUCCACCAGGCCGACUAGCUAGCGAUUACAGGGUGCCAGUUACUGGAGCAAGUGGAACAUCUCAGGAGACAGGAGCGCUGUGCACGAUUGUCAUGGCAACAACGAUGGGAAGACAAGAUGGAGGAGUCAUGGCUGGCCUGGCCUCCUUUUACAGGAGAGGAUACUGUUUUCGAUGACCACAGAAUUGAAACUAGAGAGACCGCGUAUGGGGAAAUCCAAAAGCCAAAAUGUGGCUGUGUUCAUUUGAGUCGCACUCUGCUGCCAUAGCACGGAGCAUUAAGGUGCUGCAAGCCUCACCCCUGGAUCCUCCCUCAUUUUUGGUGGAACUGCAGCUGAUUACUCACCUGGGCUAUAUAAGAGACUGAGGAACUGUACUCCCUCUCUCUGCCAUGUUUCCUGUUGCCUGCCUGCUUAUCUAUCUGUGUGAUUUGUGAAUGCACCUUCUGUGCCCGCCAGUACUUUUUGUUUGGUAAAUUUAAGUUUUUGAUUAAGAAGAAGCGGCCAAGAAGCUUGUAAGGGAGAGCUGCCAAUUUGUGUGUUUAAUCCACUGUUUCACCUGUUUUUUGAGAUUGUCAGGGAGGCCAGUAUUGUAACCUUUUAUUUUGUUUGUUUCAGAUUCAGUUUUUUUUUUGUUCUAAGUAUCAUCAUUCUGUUUGUUAUUUUGGCUUUGGCUCUCCCUGACAUUACACUGUGCCUCAGGUUGGAAAACCUUGAAAAUCCUGAAUCUUGUGACUCCUCAAAUUGUUCAUCUACUUUUAUGUUACUCCCGUUUCCCCUAGACCAACUUGGGGUCGUAACAUAAGGCAUAGUCAUAGUCAUAGUAUAAUAAGGAAAUAAACGUCAUAGUAUAGUAAGGCAUAAAAUGUCAUAAAAACAUCAAGAAAUGUCAUAGUAUAUUGAGGCAUAAAAAAAUCACAUUAUUAUAAGCUAUAUAAUAUUAUAAUAAGGAAUAAAAAGUAAUAACAACGUCAUAGAAAAAACAAAAACAACAUAGUAUAGUAUGGCAUAAAAACGUCAAAAAAACAUCAUAGUAUAUUAAGGCAUAAAAGGUCAUACAAAAAUGUUAUAGUAUGGUAGUGAAUAAAACGACAUAGUAUAGUAAGGAAAAAAAAAGGCAAAAAACGUUAUAGUAUAGUAAGGCAUAAAAUGUUAUCAAAGGGCCCUGAGCAGUAUGAUUCUAUUUUGUUUUGGCCCGUUUCCUGUGUGGACCUCCAUUCUUGGUUAUGCUCCUAAAUGAGCUGGGCUCAUCCGUAUAAAAAGGGAUAAAAAGUCAUAAAAAAGUCGUAGUAUAGUAAGGCUUGAAAAAUAUCAUCAAAAAGUCAUACUAUAUUAAGGUAUCUAAAAUGUCUAAAAACAUAUUAUAGUGAGGGAUAAAAAAGCCCAAAAACAUCAUAGUAUAGUAUGGCAUAAAAUGUCAAAAAAUAUGAUAGUGUACUAAGGCAUAAAAGUUCAUAAACACAUCACAGUAUUGUAAGGAAUAAAACGUCAUAGUAUAGUAUGGCAUAAAAUUGCCAAAAAAUGAGCCCUGAGCAGUAUGAUCCUAUUUUGUUUUGGUCUGUUUCCUGUGUUUUUUUUCAGAUACUUCCUGAUUACCUGACUGACUUCCCCUGAAUGGGGAUAAACUGGGAUAUUCAAGAUGGCCUCUCUGGAAGGCUCCCAACGUGAUUUUAUGUUGUUGUAUAUUGUGUUGUAUAUUGUGUUAGGCUAAUGCCUCAGUUUUUGUACAUGUAGUUUAAGUUGGCUUUGAUUUUCAUAGCACCCAAUAUCUACACUACAUUACUGACUACACGUUUUCAAGUUUGGUUAGGUAAAAUUGAGUUAU